rnacentral:rRNA from 1 species
CUACGGGGGGCUGCAGUGGGGAAUAUUGCACAAUGGGCGCAAGCCUGAUGCAGCCAUGCCGCGUGUAUGAAGAGGGCCUUCGGGUUGUAAAGUACUUUCAGCGGGGAGGAAGGGAGUAAAGUUAAUACCUUUGCUCAUUGACGUUACCCGCAGAAGAAGCACCGGCUAACUCCGUGCCAGCGAGCCGCGGUAAUACGGAGGGUGCAAGCGUUAAUCGGAAUUACUGGGCGUAAAGCGCACGCAGGCGGUUUGUUAAGUCAGAUGUGAAAUCCCCGGGCUCAACCUGGGAACUGCAUCUGAUACUGGCAAGCUUGAGUCUCGUAGAGGGGGGUAGAAUUCCAGGUGUAGCGGUGAAAUGCGUAGAGAUCUGGAGGAAUACCGGUGGCGAAGGCGGCCCCCUGGACGAAGACUGACGCUCAGGUGCGAAAGCGUGGGGAGCAAACAGGAUUAGAUACCCUAGUAGUC